GACAGAGGGUGCAAACGUUGUUCGGAAUUACUGGGCGUAAAGCGCGUGUAGGCGGCGGCGCAAGUCGGGUGUGAAAGCCCAGGGCUCAACCCUGGAAGUGCACUCGAUACUGCGACGCUAGAGUCCCGGAGAGGUUGGUGGAACUCUCGGUGUAGAGGUGAAAUUCGUAGAUAUCGAGAAGAACACCGGUGGCGAAGGCGGCCAACUGGACGGUGACUGACGCUGAGACGCGAAAGCGUGGGGAGCAAACAGG
rnacentral:rRNA from 1 species